rnacentral:lncRNA from 1 species
CUAAUCCCAACCCCAGGGCGAAGCGUUUUCUUAUUUAUUUCCGUUUUCUCGCCACUACAGCCUCCUGACAAGGUGAUCCGGGCGGGCCCCGCAGGAAUUUUAUCCCCUCACCGGCCUCACACUAGUAUCGCAUGUCCACUAUCCAGAACCUCCAAUCUUUCGACCCCUUUGCUGAUGCAACUAAGGGUGACGACUUACUCCCGGCAGGGACUGAGGAUUACAUUCAUAUAAGAAUCCAGCAACGGAACGGCAGAAAGACACUGACUACUGUUCAGGGCAUUGCAGAUGAUUAUGACAAAAAGAAACUUGUGAAAGCUUUCAAAAAGAAAUUUGCCUGUAAUGGUACUGUGAUUGAACAUCCUGAAUACGGAGAGGUUAUUCAGCUUCAAGGUGACCAAAGAAAAAACAUCUGCCAAUUUUAUUUUACAGGUUGGCAUUGUAAAGGAGGAACAGCUUAAGGUUCAUGGAUUCUAAAAUGAACCUAAAUACGUGGAGAAUUUCUUGAAUAGUUUUGUUCUCUAAACCCGGUUUGGCUGCCUUGUGAAAUGAUUCCCUGCAGUAAACGGACUUUUCAUUUAUUUAAUCAUUCAAACUUCCAUUCACAUCUGCAUGAUUACAGAAAACAUGGGGUAUGUAGACUAGUAACACAUAAGAAAAUUGCAGUAAGAUGGUAACAAAACCUCAUAUUGUCUUUACAUGUUUCCAAUGGAAAAUGUUUUGAGUGUUUAUUGUUCAGUUUAUUACGUUUCACUUGAUUAAAUUUUUUUGUUGUUGUAUUAAACCAUGUACGUUGCAGCUUAACAAUAAAAAAAAAUCUAUGAAUCUUUGUGAGCAAUUAUGCUCCCAAAUCUAAGCAAGU